rnacentral:rRNA from 1 species
UACGUAGGGCGCGAGCGUUGUCCGGAAUUAUUGGGCGUAAAGAGCUUGUAGGCGGUUUGUCGCGUCUGCUGUGAAAGGCCGGGGCUUAACCCCGUGUAUUGCAGUGGGUACGGGCAGACUAGAGUGCAGUAGGGGAGACUGGAAUUCCUGGUGUAGCGGUGGAAUGCGCAGAUAUCAGGAGGAACACCGAUGGCGAAGGCAGGUCUCUGGGCUGUAACUGACGCUGAGAAGCGAAAGCAUGGGGAGCGAACAG